rnacentral:rRNA from 1 species
GAUGAACGCUGGCGGCGUGCCUAAUACAUGCAAGUCGAGCGAACAGACGAGGAGCUUGCUCCUCUGACGUUAGCGGCGGACGGGUGAGUAACACGUGGAUAACCUACCUAUAAGACUGGGAUAACUUCGGGAAACCGGAGCUAAUACCGGAUAAUAUAUUGAACCGCAUGGUUCAAUAGUGAAAGACGGUUUUGCUGUCACUUAUAGAUGGAUCCGCGCCGCAUUAGCUAGUUGGUAAGGUAACGGCUUACCAAGGCGACGAUGCGUAGCCGACCUGAGAGGGUGAUCGGCCACACUAGAACUGAGACACGGUCCAGACUCCUACGGGAGGCAGCAGUAGGGAAUCUUCCGCAAUGGGCGAGAGCCUGACGGAGCAACGCCGCGUGAGUGAUGAAGGUCUUCGGAUCGUAAAACUCUGUUAUUAGGGAAGAACAAAUGUGUAAGUAACUAUGCACGUCUUGACGGUACCUAAUCAGAAAGCCACGGCUAACUACGUG